GUUUAUUCAUUCUCCAAACCCCUCCCAAAUCUUGACUUCUUUUUCUUACAUGGUUUUGACCAUCUUCUACUUCUAUUCAUAAUCUCAAUAUAUAUAUUUUUUCUUUUAAUCCUAAAAAGAAAAAAAGAAGAGUUAAGAAAAUGAAGCACAUCCAUUCACUUAGAUUCCACACUUGGUUUUUUGUCAUUAUUGUUUUCUUGGUUCUUAGCCAUGGUGGAAGUCUUCAUCCUUAUCAUUUCAUACACGGAGAGAAGAUAACUCAUGGUGAUCACCAAAUUCAUUCACACCCUAAGAAGCAAAAAUACGAAGAAUUAUAUCCAACAGGGUCAAACAUACCAGAUUGCUCACACGCUUGUGGGCCAUGUUUUCCAUGCAAAAGGGUGAUGAUAAGCUACAAGUGUCCGAUGACCGAAUCAUGUCCAGUCAUUUAUAGAUGCAUUUGUAGAGGCAAAUACUAUCAUGUUCCAUCAAACUAAGUAUAACUUCUUUUUUUGACUUGUAAUAGGGGAAUUGUUUGGACUAAUCUAAGUUUUUAAUUUUUUUUCGAUCAAUUUAUGGAACUUUUAUGUAUUCUUCUAUUUCUAGAAAAAUUUUAUGGUUUUGUAACCAUUAUCUAGUUGAUUUAAAAUAAUUUUGAUUUUAAUCAAACAGAAGAGUUUUUGGAGACUCUGGUCAACAACUAUCAAUAAUUCUUGUACACACAUAAUAUGGUCGAUAAAGUGGACCUCUUGCAUAUAUAGAUAUACAUACAUACAUUCAUAUAUAUGCUCACAAUAUUACAAAUUAUAUUUACAUUUUUGUUCACGAAACGAGUAAACAGAUUAUAAAGUAGCAAUGGGAUUGAUUGAUAUGAGGUGAUUUUAUGAAAGUAAAGUUGCUAGUAAAAAUCUCUAGAUUUGCUAAUGGCGGCUAAUGAAAACUCGAAAAAAGUAGAUUGAUUCAUGAAAGUAAAGUUCCACGAUCAUGAGGACGACCAGACCAGAUUGAACUCAGUACACGAAGACGUUGAAAGUAUUCACCAAGUGCAAGCAAUGCUUUUGCUGCUUGACGAAGUGUUAAAAUCUGAUACAUUUGUUGCAGAGUCUGUUGCCGGAGGUGAUCCGCCUGUGAAGUUUUUUUUGGACAUUCCGAUUAGAGAAUGAAGAAGACGAUCAAAGCUUAUUUCGAAUUUUACCUGAUUCAAGAAAAUUUCAAGCGCUUCGAGCCUUUCGAGUGCACAAUUCAUCUGUGUGGUGUAACUUCCGGCUCCGGUUAUGUCGAUUGUGAUGCUCUGAGCUAAUGUCUGUUGAAGCUUUUCCAUUCCUUGACUCAGUGCCUCCUCCGCUUGCUCGCAUGAUUGCCGGAGACCCCUCGCCUUCACCAGUUGCGUAUCCGUUAGCUCGAUUUGUGGUAUCAGUAUCUGCCACCAAUGCAAACCCUAAAAUGUUAUUUGUUUAAUUGAAAUUGAAAGCGGAAGGCGGAAGCUUACGUAUAAGAGCUCAGAUGGCCGGAAUCCGCCGAUCCACUGGAAGAACCGCUCUACCGGAGUUCUCCACAACCCGUUCAACAAAUAAAACACGUCGGCCUUCGCGGCGUCCGCCUUCAUUCGGAAAAGAUCGUAGUAAUGGUUCAAUCCAGUGUCGACGAACAUACGAAGCUCGACAUCACUAGUAUGAGUCAACAACACUUUCCGAAGAUCAUCGUCCUUCUUCCUUUGUUCCCCAAUCCACAAUUCAUACUCCAUUUCGAAUGUAGCAAUCCCGGCGUUCAUUACAUUACCAGAUAACAAACUGUUGCCGGUGUUCAAUAGACCUCCGUAUGCGCCCUGUAAUUCAACCAAUCAACUAUCGACACAUCAGAUUCAGCCGUGAAUUGGAAUUGGAAAAUGGAAAUUAACCUGCCGUCGAGCCCUCUCGAGUUCUUGUUCUAAUUGCACCAAUUUUAAACGACCGGAUUCCAAUUGUUGAACAUACGCCUGAAAAAAAAGUUGAGAAUCAAACCACGCUCGAUUCAUGAUCAGGAUUCGUAAAUUUCUUUCACGUUUCAUGAUUUGAUCUAACCUUUUUCCUUAAACGACUUUUACGAGCAGCUUCACGAUUUUGUGCUAGUCGUCUCUGCAACUACAACCAGACGAACACGAAGCAUAUGUCAGGUUCACAAUGGAUUACGAUAAAAAGUUGCCCCUCCUAAUUGUUAUGUAUUUGUAUCUUCGCUUUUUUCUGGAGAAGAGGUUUGAAAAGAAUGCGAGAUAAUACCUCAAAAACUUCUGGGCAUCAAUUCACAUUAGAGUUAUUACAAGGAACUAAUAAUCAAUGCAUUGAACUCUUACGUAUGUCACGUGAUUCUUAUGUUCGGCUUUGCACACAUUUUAGAGUAAAAAGUUGGUUAAAGGAUAGUAAACAUAUAUCGGUUGAAGAGAAAAUGGCGAUGUUUUUGAUGAUGAUUGGUCACAAUCAACGUUAUGUAAUCAUCAAACGUAGAUUUCAACACUCAAAACAAACGAUUCAUAAGUAUUUUUAUGAAGUAUUGGAUAAAAUGAUGGUGUUUGCAAAAGAUAUAAUAGUACCAACUUCCUUUAAUCCAAAUCCAAACAUCUCGGGACAUAAUAGGAGGUUACGAAGGAUUUUCAGAGGAGCGGUUGGUGCGCUUGAUGGAACUUUGGUACAUGCUAUUGUCCCUCUCGACAAACAACAUUUGUAUAGAGGAAGGGGAAAAGGCAUCUGCUAUCAAAAUGUAUUGGCAAUAUGCGACUUCAAUAUGAUUUUUACAUUUGUCGUGGCUGGAUGGGAAGGGAUAGCACAUGAUUCAAGAAUAUUAUCUGAAGCUUUAACAGAUCGAGAUGCACCAUUUCCAUUUCCACCACCAGUAUUGGCUUGGAGAUUUUCAUCGAAGACGUGUAUUAACCAACAAAGAAAAAUUUAAUCACUCACAUGCAAAACUUCGAAAUGUCGUUGAACGUGCUUUUGGUCUCUUGAAAGCACGUUUCCCUGUAUUGAAGAGAAUGGCUCCAUUUCCAUUGGUUACACAAAGAAACAUCGUCAUUGCAUGUUUUGCGCUUCAUAAUUAUAUAAUAAAAGAGGGAUUAAGUGAUGAGUAUUUUUCUCAAUAUAAUCAAGUCGAUAUAUCACUUCAAAGCAAUAAUGUACAAGAUGAUGAUGAUGAGGAGGAGGAUGACGUGGAUGAGGUACAACCACGAAGUGCAAGAGACCGGGAAUAUAUGGUUCAUCUGCGAGAUCAAAUUGCUGACCAGUUAAUGCGUGUAGAAUGAAUGAUUUCAUAAAAAUAUGUUAGUUUUGUGAAUUUAGUUUUAAUAUUGUAAGACACUCAUCAAAACAAUCCUUUAUGUUUUUAAAAAUAUCAACUUUAAUAAGUAAGCGGCCUUCCGGUUUGAAUCGAAAUAUAUAUAGUUUA